ACUUAGGUAGCUUAUGAAGAGCAUUACAUUGAAGCUGUAAGGGAGAUACUAGUAUCCUUAGGUG
rnacentral:tRNA from 2 species